rnacentral:rRNA from 1 species
AUAAUGGGUCAGCGACUUAUAUUCUGUAGCAAGGUUAACCGAAUAGGGGAGCCGAAGGGAAACCGAGUCUUAACUGGGCGUUAAGUUGCAGGGUAUAGACCCGAAACCCGGUGAUCUAGCCAUGGGCAGGUUGAAGGUUGGGUAACACUAACUGGAGGACCGAACCGACUAAUGUUGAAAAAUUAGCGGAUGACUUGUGGCUGGGGGUGAAAGGCCAAUCAAACCGGGAGAUAGCUGGUUCUCCCCGAAAGCUAUUUAGGUAGCGCCUCGUGAAUUCAUCUCCGGGGGUAGAGCACUGUUUCGGCAAGGGGGUCAUCCCGACUUACCAACCCGAUGCAAACUGCGAAUACCGGAGAAUGUUAUCACGGGAGACACACGGCGGGUGCUAACGUCCGUCGUGAAGAGGGAAACAACCCAGACCGCCAGCUAAGGUCCCAAAGUCAUGGUUAAGUGGGAAACGAUGUGGGAAGGCCCAGACAGCCAGGAUGUUGGCUUAGAAGCAGCCAUCAUUUAAAGAAAGCGUAAUAGCUCACUGGUCGAGUCGGCCUGCGCGGAAGAUGUAACGGGGCUAAACCAUGCACCGAAGCUGCGGCAGCGACGCUGAUGCGUUGUUGGGUAGGGGAGCGUUC